rnacentral:lncRNA from 1 species
GUCUGGGGAGGAGUUUUAAAGGGGUUUCUAAGAUAGGAAAGCGUGAAGUCUUAUUAUUGUACAGAAAGAUUGUAUCUACUCAGAGGGAUGAGAGUAAUCACAAAUACACAGUGGUUAUUACACCCAUUAUAUAGAAAAUGAAACUGAGGCUCAGAAACCUCAUAUAGUUCCCCUAGAGAUACACAAUUGUUAGUGCUGAAAUGUGAACUCAAACCUUCAGACGUGAAGCUGGAAAUGAAUUUCCUUGGCUUCGAUGUCUCCAUCUCAAAAAUGACUGUAUUUUUGGGAAGGUUGCUUCAGAGUCCACGUUCUAUUGGCCAUUCCACUGAUUCCGCAUCUCCUUGACAAAUGAAUCUUGGGCCAAAAGUUCAUUGUGGGGACGCUGUUCAGUAGUUCCAUGAGAGCAGGAAGCAGAUCUAUCUUACUGAGGACACUCCUGGUGCCAAACUAUCUGGGGAAGAGGAAACCAAGAAUCCAGUGCAGUCUUAGAAGAUGGGGGAGUUGCUAAUGGAAGGAACCAGGUCUCUGAAAGACUUCAUAGAACACAGUACCACACUUUGUGACAUCCCCUGACAACCUCAUUAGACUGUGACAUAGGCAAGAAAUAAAUCUUGGUUGUGUUUGCCCCUGAAAUUCCAGGGCUGUUUGUUACAAUGGUUAACCUCUUCUGACAAAUUUCAUAAAAUUCCAUUUACCCUCGCUUUUCCUCACUACAUAUUAUUCAGUUUAAGAUUCGGUUCACUGUCCUCCAGGAAGCCUUCCUUGACUUCCCUGUGGCUGGCUUUUGUGUUCCCAUGGCACCAUGUGCACUGUUUCAUCAGGUACUAACCACGUUGUAUUAUAUACUGUCUCCCUCAUGUGACUAAGUUUUUCCUGAGGUCAGAAACUAUCUAUUUUU